rnacentral:lncRNA from 1 species
GCAUCGUCAUAAUAUUCUUUAAGCGCUUCUUUUUGGUAUCUGGCAUAUGAGAAAUGGAUAAUGAAUAAGAAGUUAUUGCCUCCAAAAAUUGGGAUUGACAAUUAACUCCUAAAUAUGAUGGAUCUUGGUCUAAAACCCUAUCUAAAUCUACACAAGAGGGACAGUGUAAUUGGCAACAUAUUUGAUAAUCCUCCUUGAUCAUGAAAGAUAUUUUCCUUUUUGUAACUUUAUUACAUGGCACUCUAAUGUUGUUUGACUUUAUAUUUACACACAUAUUCAUACA